CAGUUCUUGUCCACCAUCAUCUGGAACUUCCCCCGGCACAGACCAGGAACAAAGGGAGGAUCGCCAUUGGUUCCUGUUAAAGGUUUAUUUAAUUUUAAUAGUCCAGCUCCCGUAACCAGCGCAUUAGCAGGAGUACUCGUGUUUCUGGCCCCGAUUUCUGAAAAUCCCAUCGUCAGAGGUGUAGUGAUAUGUCUUUCCUUCGCCCUGCACUUAAGUUUUCAGAUUUGUCAAGUAAAAGAGUGAGUUUAUAUAUAGUUUGUGCAAUAAAAAAGUCAGUUAUAUAGUUAUAGUAUAUAUAUAGUUUGUGUUUAGUAAAGUGUGUGUGUUUUUACCUUAUACUGAAUUCUCUCUUUCAGUUACACUACACGGUGCCCAGUGGCCUUUCUUUUUGUUGUACUCUUUGUAAGUGUUUAAGUGAUACUAAAGUUCAGGCUGUAGGACGUCAGAAUGUCUGAAUGUUUUAGCUAAAAUAUUGUUUUACACAGAUGACCGCACUGUUCUUCUAUUCUCUGAUAAACAAGUGUAGGUGUAGAAAUGUGGCAGGUUAAAUCUGUUUUACUUUUCCACAGACCAGCAUGAACGCCAUAAUGGUUUGGGGCAUGUUAAGUUUUCACGAGGUUGUGGGAACGCUUAUUGUAACAGCCAUAGCCAUCAGGAUGUGUUCUGUACUUGUGGUGUUCUGUUGGAAGUCCAAGGUUUAUUACCCUAUUUUCGGCGGUGUUGGAGGCUUUACCUACACUACAUUCCUGAUCUUUGAGUCCUGGGCUUUGUUCCAAAAUGGGGACAAAAAGUUCACUACCUGGGAUGCCUGUUUGGCAGCAGGGACAAUAUUUGUAAAUACCAGCUCUGAACUAACCCUGCCUGAUCUUGUCCCACCACCAUAAUUUUCCACACAAACACACACUCAAACAAACACUCACAAACACACUCACAAACACACAUACACAAUGCACACACACGAACACACACAGCAACAAACACACAAUCACAAAACACAAACAAACACAUUUACAAAGGCACACACACAUAUACUGUACACAAACAAACACACACACCCAUAAACACACAUGCAUACAAACACAAACACACUCACACAAACAGACACACAUGCAAGCAAACACACACACACACUCUCUCUCACACAUGCACACACACAUUCUCUUUUUCAUUUGUUUGUUUUAAGCCUGUUGGCUGUUUUGUUCAAUUGUUUUUAUAGUUGUUAAAUAAGUUGUUUUUUGUGUAGUCAUUGUUCUUGGAUUUUUUAAAAAUACAAUUGUAUUUAUAUUGUGUUUUAA